GAUGAACGCUGGCGGCGUGCCUAAUACAUGCAAGUCGAGCGAACAGACGAGGAGCUUGCUCCUCUGACGUUAGCGGCGGACGGGUGAGUAACACGUGGAUAACCUACCUAUAAGACUGGGAUAACUUCGGGAAACCGGAGCUAAUACCGGAUAAUAUAUUGAACCGCAUGGUUCAAUAGUGAAAGACGGUUUUGCUGUCACUUAUAGAUGGAUCCGCGCCGCAUUAGCUAGUUGGUAAGGUAACGGCUUACCAAGGCAACGAUGCGUAGCCGACCUGAGAGGGUGAUCGGCCACACUGGAACUAGGAAACGUUCAGACUCCUACGGGAGGCAGCAGUAGGGAAUCUUCCGCAAUGGGCGAAAGCCUGACGGAGCAACGCCGCGUGAGUGAUGAAGGUCUUCGGAUCGUAAAACUCUGUUAUUAGGGAAGAACAAAUGUGUAAGUAACUAUGCACGUCUUGACGGUACCUAAUCAGAAAGCCACGGCUAACUACGUG
rnacentral:rRNA from 1 species